rnacentral:rRNA from 1 species
CUACGGGCGGCAGCAGUGAGGAAUAUUGCACAAUGGGGGGAACCCUGAUGCAGCAACGCCGCGUGGAGGAUGACGCAUUUCGGUGUGUAAACUCCUUUUAUAUGUCAAGAAAAUGACGGUAGCAUAUGAAUAAGCGCCGGCUAACUCCGUGCCAGCAGCCGCGGUAAUACGGAGGGCGCAAGCGUUACUCGGAAUCACUGGGCGUAAAGGACGCGUAGGCGGGUUGAAAAGUCAGGUGUGAAAGCCUACAGCUUAACUGUAGAACUGCACUUGAAACUCUCAAUCUAGAGUAUGGGAGGGGCAGAUGGAAUUAGUGGUGUAGGGGUAAAAUCCGUAGAUAUCACUAGGAAUACCUAAAGCGAAGGCGAUCUGCUGGAACAUUACUGACGCUAAGGCGUGAAAGCGUGGGGAGCAAACAGGAUUAGAUACCCCUGUAGUC